AGGCGAUUUUGUUCACGAUUUUGUUACUGAUUACGUGAUUGCAUCAUCAUCAACCGUUCGCUGACGAUGAUGAUGAUGCAAUCACGUAAUCAGUAACAAAAUCGUGAACAAAA